AGAGUUUGAUCAUGGCUCAGAUUGAACGCUGGCGGCAGGCCUAACACAUGCAAGUCGAGCGGAAACGAGUUAUCUGAACCUUCGGGGAACGAUAACGGCGUCGAGCGGCGGACGGGUGAGUAAUGCCUAGGAAAUUGCCCUGAUGUGGGGGAUAACCAUUGGAAACGAUGGCUAAUACCGCAUGAUGCCUACGGGCCAAAGAGGGGGACCUUCGGGCCUCUCGCGUCAGGAUAUGCCUAGGUGGGAUUAGCUAGUUGGUGAGGUAAGGGCUCACCAAGGCGACGAUCCCUAGCUGGUCUGAGAGGAUGAUCAGCCACACUGGAACUGAGACACGGUCCAGACUCCUACGGGAGGCAGCAGUGGGGAAUAUUGCACAAUGGGCGCAAGCCUGAUGCAGCCAUGCCGCGUGUGUGAAGAAGGCCUUCGGGUUGUAAAGCACUUUCAGUCGUGAGGAAGGUAGUGUAGUUAAUAGCUGCAUUAUUUGACGUUAGCGACAGAAGAAGCACCGGCUAACUCCGUGCCAGCAGCCGCGGUAAUACGGAGGGUGCGAGCGUUAAUCGGAAUUACUGGGCGUAAAGCGCAUGCAGGUGGUUUGUUAAGUCAGAUGUGAAAGCCCGGGGCUCAACCUCGGAAUAGCAUUUGAAACUGGCAGACUAGAGUACUGUAGAGGGGGGUAGAAUUUCAGGUGUAGCGGUGAAAUGCGUAGAGAUCUGAAGGAAUACCGGUGGCGAAGGCGGCCCCCUGGACAGAUACUGACACUCAGAUGCGAAAGCGUGGGGAGCAAACAGGAUUAGAUACCCUGGUAGUCCACGCCGUAAACGAUGUCUACUUGGAGGUUGUGGCCUUGAGCCGUGGCUUUCGGAGCUAACGCGUUAAGUAGACCGCCUGGGGAGUACGGUCGCAAGAUUAAAACUCAAAUGAAUUGACGGGGGCCCGCACAAGCGGUGGAGCAUGUGGUUUAAUUCGAUGCAACGCGAAGAACCUUACCUACUCUUGACAUCCAGAGAACUUUCCAGAGAUGGAUUGGUGCCUUCGGGAACUCUGAGACAGGUGCUGCAUGGCUGUCGUCAGCUCGUGUUGUGAAAUGUUGGGUUAAGUCCCGCAACGAGCGCAACCCUUAUCCUUGUUUGCCAGCGAGUAAUGUCGGGAACUCCAGGGAGACUGCCGGUGAUAAACCGGAGGAAGGUGGGGACGACGUCAAGUCAUCAUGGCCCUUACGAGUAGGGCUACACACGUGCUACAAUGGCGCAUACAGAGGGCAGCCAACUUGCGAAAGUGAGCGAAUCCCAAAAAGUGCGUCGUAGUCCGGAUUGGAGUCUGCAACUCGACUCCAUGAAGUCGGAAUCGCUAGUAAUCGUGGAUCAGAAUGCCACGGUGAAUACGUUCCCGGGCCUUGUACACACCGCCCGUCACACCAUGGGAGUGGGCUGCAAAAGAAGUAGGUAGUUUAACCUUCGGGGGGACGCUUACCACUUUGUGGUUCAUGACUGGGGUGAAGUCGUAACAAGGUAGCGCUAGGGGAACCUGGCGCUGGAUCACCUCCUUA
rnacentral:rRNA from 1 species